UACAGAGGGUGCGAGCGUUGUUCGGAAUUAUUGGGCGUAAAGCGCUUGUAGGCGGCACGUCAAGUCGCGUGUGAAAUCCCCAGGCUUAACCUGGGAAGUGCGCGCGAAACUGACGAGCUUGAGUGCCGGAGAGGGUCGCGGAAUUCCCGGUGUAGAGGUGAAAUUCGUAGAUAUCGGGAGGAACACCAGUGGCGAAGGCGGCGACCUGGACGGACACUGACGCUGAGACGCGAAAGCGUGGGGAACAAACAGG
rnacentral:rRNA from 1 species